UGAAGCUGGCGAGGAUGUCGUGCUUAAAACUUGUUAUUUUUGGAUGGAGUUUCUGAGCACCCCCCCCCUUCUCCCCCCGCAGCGUUAAACGCCGUUGUUUAUUGGAGCUGACAGGAGAAACACAAGCAGUUGUCGGUCGCUUCUGCGAGAGUGGUGUCUACCAGCGGUGGAAUGAACAUGACGGAGCCGAUCUGCCGGCAGCGCUCCCGGAUUGAGCCACCGCCACCGUCCCAGGCAGGAGGGACAAGCUGGCGGAGGGGACACACGCUGCCACGGGAGGAGACGGCUUCUGCAGGAGGCGGUGGUGAAAGGUGCUGGAUUGACAAGCCGUGGAGACGGAAGGGCCUCUGGACUCCACCGAAGUUUACAUUUACAAAGGACACAGAGAAUAAAUAGAAGACUGUGUUUAGAGUCCUCUGUAGACACUUCAGACUUGCUUAUAAUUCUGCAGCAAUUCCAUCACCUCUGAAGUGAUUGAUGCUCUCUAUAAAGUCUUGCCUUAAAACAUUUUCCUAUGUGUUGGGGGAAGAAGUUUAUUACACUUUACCGAAAGGGCAGGAUUUGUACUGCGCUGGAGGCUGAGUCCUUCCCAGCCCCGUCCUCAGGAGAAAGGAUAAUCAGAGCGCUGGAAAAAAACAGAGACUGACCCAAAGCAGGCGUGUGCCUUGUGGUUAUCAGGUCUAGUGCUGCGUGUUGAGAUCGAGUUCUCUGCGGGUCCUCCAAGCAGGGAGAGUUUAACAGGUUUUCAUCAAACUGUUUUUUUCUAAAAGCUUGUAUUUUAAUUCAGCGGAAACACAAAAUGCAUCUGCUUUCAACA
rnacentral:lncRNA from 1 species